AUGUAGGACUCUAAGGAAGAGAGCCAGGACCAGCACUGAAAAUCAUUCUGCUAGGGAACAGCAUCUCCCAGAAGACCUCCUUAGCUACAGAUUUUGCUCAAAAAACUUUCGGGAACCAGUACAAACUAUAGGACUGGAUUUCUUUUGAGAAGGAUAACAUUGCCAGGAAACUUGAAUGUUACUCUCUAGUUUGGGAUACAGGAGGCCAGACAAUAGGAAGCAAAAUGUUGGACAGAUGCAUCUAUGGAGCACAGGAAAUCAUCUUGGUAUAUGAUAUUACAAGUUAUCAAAGCUUUGAGAAUUCUUAGAUUAGUGAAGAAAGUGAGUGAAGAGUCAGAAACUCAGCCACUGGUUGCCUUAGUGGGCAAUAAAAUUGAUUUGGAGCAUAAUCAAACAGUAAAACCUGAAAAACACUUACGGUUUUGCCAGGAAAAUGGUUUUAAUAGCCACUUUGUUUCAGCCAAGGCAAGAGGCUCUGUCUUCCUGUGUUUUCAAAAAGUUGUUGCUGAAAUCCUUGGAAUCAAAUUAAACAAAGCAGAAAUAGAACAGUCACAGAGGGUGGUAAAGGCAGAUAUUGUAAACUACAACCAGGAACCUAUGGCAAGAGCUAUUAACCCUUCUAGAAGCUCUGUGUGUGCAGCUGGGUGAGCUCAUUUUUCCAUUGUGUUGAUAGUUUUGGCUGCCCUUCACCUCUGGGUGUGUCUGAGAACUUCUAAGAACUUGUUUUAUCAGUGACCAUCUCUGUAGUUCAGUUAACACUUUCCUCCGAACUUGCUUCAUCCUUAAGUGUUCCUCCCAACCGCAGGCAUGUACUUGGAUUCAAAAGAAUUCAACUUUGCCACCACACACUUUGCAUUCAAACUGGAAGGCUCAUUCUCUGGAAUUAGACUGUUUCAUUGAAAAAGAAUGGUGUCCGGCCGGGCGCGGUGGCUCAUGCCUGUAAUCCCAGCACUUUGGGACGCCGAGGUGGGUGGAUCACCUGAGGUCAG